CCUACGGGUGGCAGCAGUGAGGAAUAUUGGUCAAUGGACGGAAGUCUGAACCAGCCAAGCCGCGUGCAGGAUGACGGCCCUAUGGGUUGUAAACUGCUUUUGUACGGGGAUAAACUUGAUUACGUGUAUCCUCCUGCAUGUACCUUAUGAAUAAGGACCGGCUAAUUCCGUGCCAGCAGCCGCGGUAAUACGGAGGGUCCGGGCGUUAUCCGGAUUUAUUGGGUUUAAAGGGUGCGAAGGCGGACGGUUAAGCGUGUGGUGAAAUGUCCGGGCUUAACGGGGGAACUGCCGCUCGUACUGUGGGGCUGGAGUGCGGAUGCGGUAGGCGGAAUGUGUGGUGUAGCGGUGAAAUGCUUAGAGAUCAUAAAGAACACCGAUUGCGAAGGCAGCUUACCAAACUGUAACUGACGCUGAGGCACGAAGGCGUGGGGAUCAAACAGGAUUAGAUACCCGAGUAGUC
rnacentral:rRNA from 1 species